UUAAAACAAGCUUUUAAGAGCAGAUGGCGGAUGCCUUGCCAAAGAGAGGCGAUGAAGGACGUACUAGACUGCGAUAAGCUAUGCGGAGCUGUCAAGGAGCUUUGAUGCGUAGAUAUCCGAAUGGGGCAACCCAACUAAUAGAGAUAUUAGUUACUCUAACAGAGAGCGAACCUAGUGAAGUGAAACAUCUCAGUAACUAGAGGAAAAGAAAUCAACGAGAUUCCCUAAGUAGUGGCGAGCGAACGGGGAAAAGGGCAAACCGAGUGCUUGCAUUCGGGGUUGAGGACUGCAACAUCCAAGAAAACGCUUUAGCAGAGUUACCUGGAAAGGUAAGCCAUAGAAAGUGAUAGCCUUGUAUGCGACAAGGCGUUUUCAGGUAGCAGUAUCCAGAGUAGGCCAGGACACGAGAAAUCCAGGUUGAAGCCGGGGAGACCACUCUCCAACCCUAAAUACUACUCUUUGAGCGAUAGCGAACAAGUACCGUGAGGGAAAGGUGAAAAGAACCGCAGUGAGCGGAGUGAAAUAGAACCUGAAACCAUCUGCUUACAAUCAUUCAGAGCCCUAUGAUUUAUCAGGGUGAUGGACUGCCUUUUGCAUAAUGAUCCUGCGAGUUGUGGUGUCUGGCAAGGUUAAGCGAAUGCGAAGCCGUAGCGAAAGCGAGUCUUAAUAGGGCGGUUAAGUCAGAUGCUGCAGACCCGAAGCUAAGUGAUCUAUCCAUGGCCAAGUUGAAACGCGUGUAAUAGCGCGUGGAGGACUGAACUCGUACCCAUUGAAACGGGUUGGGAUGAGCUGUGGAUAGGGGUGAAAGGCCAAACAAACUUAGUGAUAGCUGGUUCUCUUCGAAAUAUAUUUAGGUAUAGCCUCAAGUGAUAAUAAAAGGGGGUAGAGCCCUGAUUGGGCUAGGGCUGCUCGCCGCGGUACCAAACCCUAUCAAACUUCGAAUACCUUUUAUCGUAUCUUGGGAGUCAGGCGGUGGGUGAUAAAAUCAAUCGUCAAAAGGGGAACAACCCAGACUACCAAAUAAGGUCCCUAAGUUCUAUUCUGAGUGGAAAAAGAUGUGUGGCUACUCAAACAACCAGGAGGUUGGCUUAGAAGCAGCCAUCCUUUAAAGAAAGCGUAACAGCUCACUGGUCUAGUGGUCAUGCGCUGAAAAUAUAACGGGGCUAAGAUAGACACCGAAUUUGUAGAUUGUGUUUAACACAGUGGUAGAAGAGCGUUCAUACCAGCGUUGAAGGUAUACCGGUAAGGAGUGCUGGAGCGGUAUGAAGUGAGCAUGCAGGAAUGAGUAACGAUAAGAUAUAUGAGAAUUGUAUCCGCCGUAAAUCUAAGGUUUCCUACGCGAUGGUCGUCAUCGUAGGGUUAGUCGGGUCCUAAGCCGAGUCCGAAAGGGGUAGGUGAUGGCAAAUUGGUUAAUAUUCCAAUACCGACUCAUGGAGCGUGAUGGGGGGACGCAUAGGGUUAAGCGAGCUAGCUGAUGGAAUAGCUAGUCUAAGGGCGUAGAUUGGAGGGAAGGCAAAUCCACCUCUGUAUUUGAAACCCAAACAGGCUCUUUGAGUCCUUUUAGGACAAAGGGAGAAUCGCUGAUACCGUCGUGCCAAGAAAAGCCUCUAAGCAUAUCCAUAGUCGUCCGUACCGCAAACCGACACAGGUAGAUGAGAUGAGUAUUCUAAGGCGCGUGAAAGAACUCUGGUUAAGGAACUCUGCAAACUAGCACCGUAAGUUCGCGAUAAGGUGUGCCGCAGCAAUGCGGUCUCAGCAAAGAGUCCCUCCCGACUGUUUACCAAAAACACAGCACUUUGCCAACUCGUAAGAGGAAGUAUAAGGUGUGACGCCUGCCCGGUGCUCGAAGGUUAAGAGGAUGCGUCAGUCGCAAGAUGAAGCGUUGAAUUGAAGCCCGAGUAAACGGCGG
rnacentral:rRNA from 1 species